CACAGAGUAGAGAAGUGGUUAUCUCGCAAGGCUCAUACCCUUGAAAUCGUGGGUUCGAAUCCCACCUCUGUAA
rnacentral:tRNA from 1 species